CAUGAUUACUGAUCAGUCAGAGUUGACUCUCUGUUCUUGCAGAAGAGACUACGUCGGCUCUGCCAAUGCCUCUGCCUCCUGGAGAAGCUGUCUGCUCUGAGCCCAUGUCGGCAUCCGGCUAAUUGUCAUAGAUGAGGAGGGACUCAGGGGAGGGGAAGAGAUCGCGUCCUAGAUCCUUGAUGCUAUCGAGAAAUCGAGGAUCUCAAUCGUGGUCCUCUCACCGAACUAUGCCUCUUCUAGUUGGUCCCUGGACUAACUGGUCAAGAUCCUUGAGUGCAGGAAAUCGUCCGGUCAGAGAGUGCUGCCAGUGUUCUACUAUGUGGAGCCAUCCGAUGUGAGAAGGCAGUCAGGGAAUGUCGGGGAGGCUUUGGCUCAUCAAGAAGACAGGCUGGGAUGGGAUCAUGAGAAGGUGAAGCGGUAGAAGAGAGCUCUAACCAAGGCAUCCUCGAUCUCGGGCUGGCAUUUACUUGCUGAUCGGGAAAUUCAUAUAUAUAUCUAGUCUCAGCCACAGUACAUGGUCAAUCCGAGAUGCAUUAGUCCAUUCGGACAGAAUGUGGCAUUAUCGUCGUUAAGACUGUGAUGAUCCAGUACCCUCAUUGAUGUUAAAGCUCGACCAAUUUCAACUUUUGGACUGUUAAAAGAGGAGCAGUAUUUUAGCUGAUGAAUUCAGCAAAAAAAGUAGUUUAGCUGACGAUGGAAUGGGAACUGUUUCUUGAUAAUUCAUAAUGAUCUAGAUGCAGUUUUGCUGUGAUGGGUCGCGAAGAUUAGGGAAUCAACUAGUCCUAUCGCAACUCAUCACUUCUUUUAAUUUACAGGCGGGAGAUGGUGGUAAUUUCGGAAAAUUGUCCAGCUGGUAUCAAAUGAUUUGAAUCGCAAGCCUUUAUAUGCUCCGGACAAAUUGUUUGGGAUGGACUGCCAUCUGAAUUAUAUGCAUCCCUUACUAGAUAUCAAGUCAGAAGAUGUGCAGAUGCUAGGAAUUUGUGGACUUGGAGGGAUAGGAUAGACUACUAUUGCAAAAGCCUUGAGCAAAGCAUCUUCCUUGCCAAUGUUCGGGAAACCUGCGAGAAGUUUUCUCAGAGUGGCCUACUUCAGCUGCAGAAGGCUCUUCUUUCUGGGAUGAUGCUGGAUGUUGAUAUGAAUCUUGGAAAUGUUGAUCGAGGGAUUGCCAUGAUAAGAAAUAUUCUUUGCCAUAAAAAAGUCCUCAUUGUUAUUGAUGAUGUGGACCGUUUGCAUCAAUUGGAAACACUUUCCGAGGAACUUGAUUUGGUAUGGUCCUGGUAGUAGAAUCAUCAUUACCACAAGAGAUGAGCACUCGCUAGUGUCUCACGGAGUAGAAAAAUCAUAUAAGGUUAAGCCUUUGGAUCGACGUGCUUCUUUGUGGCUUUUCUCUUCAGCUGCCUUCCGGAAUACGGUUCCAGAGGAAGAUUAUAGACAGCUCUCGUACAAUGUGGUGGAUCAUGUCAAAGGACUUCCUUUGGCCAUUAAUGUUUUGGGCUCGUUUCUCCAUGAUCGGAGCGAGUCAGUAUGGAGAUGUGCAAUAGAAAAGUUGGGGGUAUCUUUAUUAUACUUGAGAUAAGUUUCGAUGUCUUGGAUGACUAUGAGAAGACCAUUUUCUUGGACCUCGCUUGUUUCUUUAGGGGAGAGCAUGUUGAUCGUGUGAAAGAAAUACUGAAAUGCUGUGAUCUUUACCCAGAAAAUGGGAUCUGAGUUCACGUGGAUAGGUCUCUCUUAACUAUUGAGCUUGAGAAGGUGUAGAUGCAUGACAUGAUUGAAGAAAUGGGUAAGGAAAUCGUUAGGCAGGAGUCUCCUCAAGAACCAGGUGAGAGGAGUCGAUUAUGGUUCCGUGAGGAUGUUCUUCGUGUGCUAACAGAAGACACAGCAACAAACAAGAUCGAAGGCAUUUAUCUAGAUUUGGUUGCACCGCCAUAUGUUUCACAAAUGAACUAAGGUGGCUCGAGUGGCCCAAAUACACUUCGCUCUCUCUCCCAUUCUGUUCGGGUCUGAAGAAGCUUGCUGGACCAUGCAUGGCUAGAAGCAGCAUCUGGCUUCUGGGACAGGAGUUUCGGCUCUACAGAAAUCUCAAGUUCAUCAACUUCAGCUACUGCACACACUUGAUCCAAGUCCCAGAUGUAUCUUCAAUGCAGAAUCUUGAGCGAGUAGAUGCCAAAGGAUGUCAAAGUUUGGUGGAUGUUCAUGACUCCCUCAGUCAUCUCGAUAAGCUAAUUCAUUUGAAUUUCUCUAACUGCUCUAGUCUUAGCAAUUAUCCAAGAAGCCUGAAAUCAGAACUACUUCAGAGCCUUGUCCUUAAAGGCUGUUCAGUGCUUUCAAAGUUUCCUGAUGUUCUGGUGGAAGUGAAGGGCAUGAAGGAACUCUCUCUAGAAGAACUGCCAUCCAUGAACUGCCUGCUUCUUUCGGUGAUCUUGUUGGACUGAAGGAGUCGCGCCUCAAGAACCACAAGAAGCUCAAGUAUAUUCCCGGUAGUAUUUGUUUACAAGUUGCAGCAACUCGAGUGCAUCAUUCUGAGUGGUUGCUCUGAACUAGAUGAAUUCCCUGAACAUCAGGAGGCGACUAGUAAUUCUCCCGACAACUCACAGUCAUUGGCAUUUCCUGACUUUUUUACAUGGAUUUCGAGAGGUGCAGCUUAUCAAAGGUUACUUUCCUGAAGGGUCUUCAUUGUGAGUCCAGAUUGAUGUAUAUUUUCCUGAAGGGUCUUCAUUGUCAGUCCAAAUUGAUGUACUUGAAUCUCUCAGGAAACAAAAGUUACAUGUCUCCCUGCAAGCAUCAGCAGAUUCACAAAGUUACAACAGCUUAACUUGGAGAGUUGCAGGGACCUCCAAGAAAUUCCCGAGCUUCUACAGAACAUAACUCAUUUAUUUGCAGAAGGUUGUGAAUCUCUACAAGGCUUUCCGUCUUUGUCCAUCAUAUUAGAUUUUCAUUCCAAUGAGUCACCUUGGGUUAGGAGAAUCAACUUUUCUGGCUGCAGCAAGCUGAUUCAACAUCACAAAACAGAUCUCUUUUUUGAUGGGUAACCCUGAAAGAACUUGCUACCAAUUGAGCCCUCUCUCCGUCUCUCGUUUGCCGUCUUACACUAAACAAUAACUACAUUACUGUGCCAUCAUCUGAUAAGUCUCAUGUAUAUACAUUAGUUGGCAGUGGUCCUUCAGUGUCCGGAAUGAUUCUUACUGACCUCAAGGGGCACAUCCAGAUCUACUGCCUUAAGAAAGAUGUUUCAUAGCCAAUCUGGAUAAAGGUAAUGCAUUUCAAAUUCAGCUCACUAUGGGUCAUUGGCUGCAAAGUACAUACCAAACCAUUAAUCUGCCUCUAAAUGAGAUUCAUCGAGAAAUGGAUUUUAAGAUUUUUGUCUGCAUUUCCUCAUCAAAUUGACUAUAUAGUUUGUAUUCAUUUUCUAUGACUAAUAGAAGAACAGAGUUAUAUGUUUC